CCUACGGGCGGCAGCAGUAAGGAAUAUUGGUAAAUGGACGCAAGUCUGAACCAGCCAUGCCGCGUGGAGGAUGAAGGCCCUUGGGUUGUAAACUUCUUUUAUCGGAGAAGCGGUACCCGAUGAAUAAGCACCGGCUAACUCCGUGCCAGCAGCCGCGGUAAUACGGAGGGUGCAAGCGUUAUCCGGAUUCACUGGGUUUAAAGGGUGCGUAGGCGGGUUGGUAAGUCAGUGGUGAAAUCUUCAAGCUUAACUUGGAAACUGCCGUUGAUACUAUCAAUCUUGAAUGUUGUGGAGGUAAGCGGAAUAUGUCAUGUAGCGGUGAAAUGCUUAGAUAUGACAUAGAACACCGAUAGCGAAGGCAGCUUGCUACCAAAAUUGACGCUGAGGCACGAAAGCGUGGGGAUCAAACAGGAUUAGAUACCCUUGUAGUC
rnacentral:rRNA from 1 species